GCUUAUCACCAUUCCAGAUUGAAUAUACCCGAUCUCGUCUGAUCUCGGAAGUCAAGCAAUCUCGGGCUAGGUUAGUACUUGGAUGGGUGACC
rnacentral:rRNA from 1 species